GAUAAGGCGUUAACGAUAGAAACGGCAUCCUUUUUUUUUGCCUCACAAUUUUGCAAGUUGAAAAAAAGAUAUAGUGAUUAGCGUGUUAAAAC
rnacentral:sRNA from 1 species